rnacentral:snoRNA from 13 species
CCUCUAUUUCUUGGCGGGGUCCGGGUGCGCAGUCCCGCUCCCUGUGAUGUUCGGAGGUAGAGGGAAGGGGCUCCGGCCUCCCCGGCGUUAUGUCUUCGGUCCCGGUGGCUGCCCGUCCGCCGGUUCUAUCCUCACUCGCCGGGACAAGC